CUUAGUGCCCUGCCAUUUCUUCCCUCACCUUCUACCCUAUCCAUUCAUCCCUUUCUAUAUGAAACUCUGUGCCAUUGCAUCCCCCAAAAUUACCCAUGGGUAGACAUCUUCUUCUUCAUCAGUGUCAACUACAAAUGAACAGACCCCUCUCACCAGUCCCCACUACAGCAUCAUCUUCCUCUUUGCUCCUAUUUCUUCUCUCACUUGCUUCACCACACAUAGUCAAGCAUGAACGCCCACAUUCCUCUCUUUCUCGAUCCAGCAAUGCCUAUUAUCCAUCUAGGGUCAAACAAUUGAAUCUUCAACCAAUAGAAUCUUCAACCUAUUGAGUUUGUUGCUGAGAAGUUGAUUGUUACCUUCAAACAGUCGAAUUUCUGCCCCAAGCAUAUUCUGAAGUUUUUGGUGAGGAAAUCAACAAAUUGCAUUAAUUUAUUCAGGUAAUUUUUAAUUUUAAUUUAUGUUUAGAAUGUUAUGAUCUUAGACUACUGAAUGUGUAUUCUAUUGAUGUGUGUAUGAGAGUUGUCUCUUAGAGUUUAUAUAUUUAUUGUCAAUCAAUAAAAGCCGUACAGAUAUAGCCAUGGAUGUAAGCCUUAUUGGCUGAACCAUUAAAAACUUGAGUGUUUUUCUUUAUGGGAAGUGGUUGACCAUGAGUUGUAUCUAUUGCAUGUCUCCAUGGUAACAAUAAGUUUGUUUUCAUAGCAUCAGUAUUUUAGGUUUAGUUCAUAUUCUCUAAUUUUUGAAGCCUUUAAUUUCAGGUGCUCACUUUUAUCCUUGCAAAUUUAGUUAAGAAAUUUGCUUUUGAAAGUAGCUAAUAGCUAUAGAUUUGAGUGUGUCAAUUAUAUUAUUAAAUAUGCUUUUUCUUAUUAUUGCCUAAUAGCUACUAGAUGUUGAAUCCGCACUUCUGAUAUUGGGUGAGGUUUUUAGAUAUUAGAUUAGGCUUUACCUUUGUAGACCAAGAUGUUUGAAUCUUCUAAAGGCAUGUGAUGUGCUUGGAAUUUAAUGCAAAAUUGAUAAAGAUUAUGUUGA